CUAGCAAAGAGGAAGGAACAGGGUUUUCCUGCAUUUCCUGGCACAAGCAGUGGUAUUUAGUUGGCCGUUGUAGCUUAAACCUUUCACCCUGGUUCACUGUUUGCACUGUUAUGACGUUAUUUGCAGUGUUACCAACAACAGGCAGAGCUUUUAGCACAGACAGCUGUUUAACUUAGAAGCAAAACAGUUUGGGCUUUUACACGGAAGCAGGCAAAAAUAGCUUUCACCAACCAAGACGUGUUUGAAAAAUGUGAUGAAGCUGCUAGCCACGGGCUGCACAGCCUGCUCUGACCUGCUGCAUCCUUCCUCCAGCUUACCAGCCUGCAGUAGCUACUGGCACUUGUGCUUGGGUGCUGCCACUCCUGAGAUCAACAGUUCCAAGUUUGUGUUCAUGCUAACGUGAAGGAAUUCAUGAUUCUUCAGCGGACCUGACAUGGGUUUCUGAGGCUCUGAAACAGGAUGACCAACCACACAGACAACUGGCAUUCAUUAGAGUAUUCUGUUCUCUUGAUGCCAAACAAAAUGUCUUCUGAGAAUUCCAGGCAAUCAUUAAGAUUAAAUGGAACAAUGAAGCUAAAUUAAUGAAGUUUAUCGGUCAGAUGACUCAGAAUAUUAUUAUGAGACUUACAGAGUACACUUGAAUGAUGUAGAGAGUUUUCAUUUUGUAGCAGAAACUGGAUCUUCAUAUAUGAUAAGUCAACAUACUUGCACCUGUUGAAGCUCUUUCAACAUCCCUAGUGAAAUCAAAAGUUUGUAAUUUGCUGGUCAGAAAGAAGUACACAUGGAACUAAUUAUUGUUCUACAUUCAUUUGCAACUGGGCAGAUGUGUUCUAGUGUAAAGCAACCAAUGGAAAUGCUUCCAUUCAAUGCUAUCAUUUUGAUGAGAGUAGAGUUUGGAAAAUGAGCUCCUUUGGCACAGUGGUAAAUGGUUUUCCAGAUCAAACUCUAGGCAGAGGUAUAGGUAACAAAUAUUCUUUCACCUUAGCAAUCUUCAUAGGAUAUCCUCUUUAUUUAAAUAUAUUUUUAUAUAUAUCUACACAAUAGUGAUAAAAAUAGCAUGGUUCUCUUGUGGAUUCUUAUUUUCAGUUUAUCUGAAACUUAUCUGAGUUUUCCUCCUUCUUUUUAUUUGAAAAGUCCAGUUAUUUUAGAGCUGAAAGCAAAUCCCUCAAACUAAACAUCUUUAGCUCCAUCAAGUCUGGAGCUAGAGAGUGAAAUACUGAGGAAUGACAGCAAAACAUACUUGAAGCUUUGGAAUACUUGUCCUAAAAGUACAAGUCAAAGAUGCAAGAUUGAAGGACAUUGCUCAAGAAAACUUCUCUCCUGCUGUGGCUUUUGGUGAACCUUGCAAUUAUUUUGUAUACUUGUAUUGCCUAAGGGACAAAUGAGGUCCGUGUCUUGUUGCAGU
rnacentral:lncRNA from 1 species